UGGGGAAUUUUGGACAAUGGGCGAAAGCCUGAUCCAGCAAUGCCGCGUGUGUGAAGAAGGCCUUCGGGUUGUAAAGCACUUUUGUCCGGAAAGAAAUCCUUGGCUCUAAUACAGUCGGGGGAUGACGGUACCGGAAGAAUAAGCACCGGCUAACUACGUGCCAGCAGCCGCGGUAAUACGUAGGGUGCAAGCGUUAAUCGGAAUUACUGGGCGUAAAGCGUGCGCAGGCGGUUUGCUAAGACCGAUGUGAAAUCCCCGGGCUCAACCUGGGAACUGCAUUGGUGACUGGCAGGCUAGAGUAUGGCAGAGGGGGGUAGAAUUCCACGUGUAGCAGUGAAAUGCGUAGAGAUGUGGAGGAAUACCGAUGGCGAAGGCAGCCCCCUGGGCCAAUACUGACGCUCAUGCACGAAAGCGUGGGGAGCAAACAGGAUUAGAUACCCUGGUAGUCCACGCCCUAAAACGAUGUCAACUAGUUGUUGGGGAUUCAUUUCCUUAGUAACGUAGCUAACGCGUGAAGUUGACCGCCUGGGGAGUACGGUCGCAAGAUUAAAACUCAAGGAAUUGACGGGGUCAUA
rnacentral:rRNA from 1 species